GCCAGCCGUUUCGUGGCAUCGUGUCCCCGGGGGAGUCGGAGUCUCUGCAUGCACGCUGGGCGGCCGCGCGGAGGUCUUGCGCGCGAGCCGCUCGACGCGGCCACCAGCGACGGUGCAGUCAGCACGGACGCCCUCGCGAUCUGUUGCUUGCGCCGUUGCGCGGCGACUCUCUCUGCUGUUGGUUCUUUUCCAUAGGUUGAUCUGUAUCCUUUCCGAAGAUGAACCUGACUUCCUAUGAAUCAUGGUUAUCCUAUCCGCAUAGUAUAGAUCAUCGGACAUGCUGCAUGCAUGCCUUUAGCUCUGAAAAGUGCAGAUGACGAUCGCUGAGAAAGCAGUCAGUUAACAGGGCUUAAUUUUGAUAUGAUACCUAACAUUGUAGCAGUGAUAAUCAAAGAUUUCAUGAUUACCGAAGACCCACAAGAUAUGGACAACCAUGGAUUAACUUGAUGAUUUGCUCCACUUGGUUUCUUCACACAAAGCAUCCAAGAAUCGAUCGGCCUCAGUGAUUACGUAAAGAACACGAAGCAUGGAGAAGGUUUUGUUUUCUAGUUGUACUUUGCCUAUUCACGUCAUUUGGAUUAGAACUCCAGGUACUACUACUGCUUUAUAGAUGUUGUUUGACAGUCUACAUAGUAUAACUCGAAGUAUAUGGAUUCUCAAAUGAUUCUAGUGGGCAGUG